rnacentral:tRNA from 1 species
GGGGCGAUACUCGGGUGACAUCAAAACUGUGACUACACCCGUAGAAGCCUGUGUGGCGUGAUCUUCGGACAGGGGUUCAAAUCCCCUCGCCUCCACCA